ensembl:lncRNA
GGAAGAAGGCAGCAGAGACUUAUCAUGUUUUGCCCUUCUCCUGGGAGACCUAAAGAACAAACAGAAAAUCGGUCUGAUGAAGAAAAAAAAAAAAAAAACAUAGCUGAGACUGGCUUGAAAAGCAGGCAAUGGAGGGGAAGACUCCUAGGAUGCUGUGUCAGAUGUCUUUUGUACCUUUAGUGCUUCUGCAGAGGGAAGAGUGUAAACACUGCUCUGGGGAGCGGAGGAGGCUAUAAGGAAAUGAACAGUAAAGACAGAGAAGCAAGAUGGCAGCGGUGGAAAGGGAGCAGAGACGGCCUUGGUGGUGCAGAGGAGAAUCAGGGAGCCUGCUCUUUGCCUAUGAAGAGUAGAAGACAGUAGUAGCAUCCAGAUGAUUGUGUCCAAACCCAGCAACAACAGACUACACAGCUCCUGACUACUGCCAAAUGCCCACAGGGCCCUCUGUUUGGGUGAGGUGUCCAUACUGAAAACACAUGUGACCAGAUCAAUCAAGAGCAGCAAUGGAAAUACUGCAGUAACGGCGGCCAUGACUGUUCCUUGUUGGGCUCUUCUCAGACUGCUGGUGUGUAUCCGUGAAGUGUUUGCAAGUGGAGUGAGUUGCUGCUGCCUGCUGACCUGUGAACUGAACAGCCGAUUUCCACACUUGAUCUUAGCCUAAAGGUCGAGAAGUGAUGCUGCCGAUUUCCGGACAACACAGAUGGAAGAUGUUCUGGCAAUCUUUCUAAACAGGUCCACUUCCCCUGUAUUCUUUCUUUCCCACUUCCUCUGGUGGGUGGUGGGCUAAAAAGGAGGUUAAAGUGUUUAAAAACCAACAUUAAAAAUAAGGUUUAAAAAAAUCAGAGUUACCCUUGGCUCUAAACACACAGUAUGUGCCCUCUGCCCAGUGUAUACCCUUGUGCUACCCAAUGCCAAUAAAUGCUGCCUGUAGCUCAGACUCGAGACUGUUGUGUGCUAGGCAUGGCAGUGACUGACGGUACAUACAUCAUUUUCUCUUAGAUAAACAUAGUCAUUCAGUUAUGGAAAGCAAAGACCUUUGUGUUUUUUACUGACAUUCCUCAGGGUGUUAAUAUUAAGCUUCGACUUUAGACUACAUUGCUUUAGAAUGUUUAAUCUUAAAAGUUAACUGUUUUAAAAAUUGUUAAAUGAAUAUUGGCUUGACAUUAGUACAGAUUCCCAAUCAGUUCCGAAAUGGUAAGCUUCUGUUGUUUUGCACUCCAUAUUCAUAUGACACGGUAUUUUCAGCACUCAGGACUGUAAAAUCAAAAUAUCAAUUAACUCUGAAAAACAUUGAAACACUGAAGAUUUUCUGCCUCCUGCGGUUUCAAGACUUAAUGCCUUAUGUGGAAAGAAACAAGGAUUUCUACUUUAAGUGGAUCACAUUCGCUUUAGCCUUUAAUGAAUAGUAAGAUUACAUAAAUAUCAAAGAAUUAUUCUAAAAUAGAUUUAUGAGUUAUUGUCCGUCAAUGUUUACUUGGUAUGCCUAUUUUAUAUGCUUGAUAUCAUGAAAGAAUUUUGGGACAAAGGGAGUCACAAGCAGAAAGGCCUUGAUCUAAAGGAACUCUUAGCAUUCCACAGAGAAAGAGACAUUCCAGUCGCCAUGAUGGUUACAGGGAGACUAUCUGAUGAGUCUGACAUUAGCCUUAGUUCCAGGUCAUAAGUAAUAAGACCAUGGACACAAGAUAAAUCCUUUUAAACACCCCAAGUAGGGAUUGCUGCAUAUGAGUUAAAAUUGAAGGCAGGGAAUUUUCUGGAAGUAAAUUCAUUGAAAACAGUUACUGAAAUCAUGAUGAAUGAUCCAGUGUUUGUAAUUGUUAAAAAAUCAAAAUACUGAAAGAGAUUUGGGGUGAACAUAAAACCUCUUUUUAGCUCAUUGUCAAAUAACACCCUAAAUUAUGAUAAUUUUUUCAAAGAUAAUUGAGACAGAGAAAAAGUUUGUAAUUUCUGAAAGCAUCAUCAAUGAAUUGAAAAUGACUUAUGAGUAGUCUGUAUACCCAGUGGAUUUGGGUGGUUGGAGAAGUGGGAAGGAUCAGGGAAGAUUUGGGGAAAGAGAACCUACAGUCAGAAUAUAGUCUAUAAGAAAAAUCUGCUUUCAACUAAAAAAUUAUUUAGUUAAAUAAAAUAACUAUGAUUUGAAACAAAUAAAAAUACUUUAAAAAUCUAUUAUGUACAAGAAAUGUAGUAAAAAUAAUCCAAAGCCAAAUAAAUACCUUAAAGAAAAGAUC